UUUGAUCGAUCCCAACCACAACGGACGAUUCGCGUCACGAUCCUGGCCAUAAGUGGCCAAGAUGGCGUUGGCCUC
rnacentral:antisense_RNA from 1 species